rnacentral:rRNA from 1 species
CUUGACGAUCAUAGAGCGUUGGAACCACCUGAUCCCUUCCCGAACUCAGAAGUGAAACGACGCAUCGCCGAUGGUAGUGUGGGG